rnacentral:sRNA from 1 species
GCCAGUCUCAGGGUACACCUAUUGCCAGGGAGCUCCCACUGACUCCUUGUGAGUGUAGCACAGAUUUGUUGCGACUGGACCAUCUGCACGUCUGGGCUUCAGAGCUGUUCUCCCCAGCUGCUUUCUGCCAGGUCCUCUCAGAGGCAGCCACCCUCCCUGGGCAGAGCAAAACCUUGAGCUGUGUUUGGAUUUUGUUUCUGGGCCUAAGCCCAAGGCUUCAGUUUCACAUUUUUGGUACCUCUGGUGGUGCCUGGGAGGGAGCCACUGCUGUACAGAGAUGCCAAUUCCAGAGGCAUGGUCCGGCACAGAGCAGUGGCUUCCAGCUGAAGGACACGUGUAA